UUUCUUUCUUACACAUUUUGGAAAUAUUGUGAUCCCUUUGAUAAGCUUUUAAUGAAAGAUUGGUAUAUAUUGUGUUCAAUUUAAUAUAUAUUAUGGAUUGAUCUGUAGUAUAUAUAAAGUAUUCUAUAUAGAGAGAGAUAUAAAUAUAUAAUAUAUAAAGAUUAUGUAUAUAUGUGUGUAUGCAUGUAAUAUAAUUGAACUAUCCUCUUGCUUCCAAAGCAUUUCAGUUGAUUGAUUUAUCUAUUAUGGGAAUUAUUUCCUCUUCCUUGUAUUGUUGUUGGUUGUUUAUAGAUAUAUUCACCUAUAGGUUCAAAAUUCCAUGGACAUAACCUCCCCUAAGAUUUGAGGCACCCAGGGCAAGAGUACAAAUAAAGGGCACCAAUAUCCUGUGACUAAAUAUUUAAAAGUCAUGAAUCAAGCUAAUCUUAUUAAAUAAAGCAUGCUCCAGCUUCUUAAGUAGAUGUCUUUCUUUGUAGUAAACUAGAAGCAAAACAUUAAGUAACAAUUAUAGGAUUCCCAGUGGGAAUUGGAACAAAGAAAACUGGGAUUAUAAAAUUUUCCUACUCUGAUUCAUGCUACUUCUAUGAGUAAUAAACUCCCCUUUGUCUUCAAUCCAUAAAUCCUGUAUCUUCUGUCAGCAUCUAUGAAACUGAGGCAGGCUAACUUAUUGGCUUGAAAAUGGGUAAAAAUCCUAGACUCUUGACAUAGAACAGAUCUCACACACACACACACACACACUCAUACACACCUUUUUUUGCUAAAUGGCUAUAGAAAUUAUUUUAUCCUCACAAAGUUCUAUUAUUUAAUGCACUAGGUACUAUUUAUUUGUUUUGUUUAGGUUUGUUUUUGCUUGCUUAUUUGUUUGGGGGAUAGUGCAGUGCAGAUGUAGAUUCCUCCCUUAAAUAAAAAGUAAAACUAUUAUGGGUAAGAUAAGAGACUUGCCUAAUAUUACAUGAUGAAUAUAGAAGCUGGAUAGAGUCUUGGUCUGCAGAUUCCCCCAAUGUCAUGAAAUAUCUACAGAUUUACGAAUAAUGCAAGAUAUUCUCCUGUCUCACUCUGAUCACUAUAAUUUUACAAUAACUUACAUGCUAAGUACAAAGAGAAAGCUGGAAGAAAAAUACUCACUCAGAGUAUUUACAUCACAAGCAUUAGAGCAUAUCUAUCCUCCAUUAGUAGUUAUAGAGAAAUCACUUUGAUGAAAGAAGAUUUAAGUCCUCUUUGAGGUGAUCUCCUGACAUUAUAGAUAAUAAAGCACUUUGUUUGCAAAUACCACAUACUCUGAAAAUCAUGUUCCUGGCUACAUUACAAAAUCAAUUAGUUAUUUUAUUCUCUUCUGGACACCAUUAGUUUCUACUGAAUGAGCUUUCAUGUGUAGUGGCAUCUUGAAACACAUGCUUUUGUGAAUGCAUACUGAAAUAAUUAAAGGGUGCUACUUAAUUCACAUUUAGUUGGAACUCUGUACAUUAAAAAUAUGUAAAAUUAUUAGGAGGACAGGAAAAUACACCUUGCCUUUGAUUUUAGAGAUGUUUCCACAGACAGGCAUAUUAAAUUCAGCAUUGCUGAUAAAGAUUUAAAAUAUUUUGCUUUUUGUGAUUUCAGCACAAUGUAUGUUUUAGUGAAGUUUUCCCUCUCUGCUAUGUGACCUUGGCCAAACUAACAAACACAAUCUCCCUCUAGUAACUAGUUUUGCAUGAUGCUUAGAGUUGGCAUUUGAUAAAAAGCACUUGAUUGGCUGGAAAGUGAUACUUCAUGCCUUUAAAAUACUAAGCUACAAAGAGUAGUAAAAUAACUUUUGUGAUUUUAAUAUUUAGUCUUCAACAUGUAUUAAAUUUUAAGUUUGUUACAUGAAAUAAUUCUAAUAUGAAAAUCCUCACUCUCAGUUCGACUUUGAUUUCAUUUUUGGUUAUGAAAAAAAAAAGCUUUAGUAUAUACAGUAAAUAGAGCAUUAUAAAACUUAGAGCUGGCACUAUCCUCAACUCAGUGGACAUACAUCUGAUGCCCUAAAACUAUUUGCUGGUACAAGUCACUCCAUCUACCUUCCAGCUCAUAAUCCAUCUCACUUGCUUCCACUUGCCUUGGCUGACUUCUGUGCAUAUGGUCUACUGGGAGACAAACUUUUAUUGAGUUAUCUUUGACCUAGCCAACCCUGUCCCAUUUCUAUCCUCUCUCAAAGGAUUUUAGUAGCUAUGUGUUGUUUUUUAAAUCAUAUUUUCCAAUUCAAAAGUAAGGCAUCAAUCUCUAUACAUCCCAAAAUCUAAAGAAUAGGAUAGAGUUCAAUAAGGAAUCAAGUUUAGGUAAUUUCUGGUUUCAUUGCAGCCUCAGCCAAAGCUGAGAAGAGUGGAAGCCAAUUUUAAGCAGGACUUGCUAUGCUAUGAAACCAGCAAUCCUGCUUCACCAACCCUAGCUCUUCUGGUCUCAGUAUUGGAGGAUGUUAAAGUGGCUAAGAGUAAGAAUCUCAUAGAGGAAAGCAGUCUGCAUUCUAUUGCUUUUCUCUUCCAUGAUUGAUCCCUAGACCUUUUGUGGGUAGUGGGUUUCUCUCUCAGCUUAAGCCAGGUAAUAAGCAUUUAGGGAGAGAGACACCCAGAAACACUUUUAGAAAGAUUGGCAUGUACCUUCUUGAGCUGGGAGAAUAAAAGGAGUAUUACCUGACUUGUUUUAAAAAUCUCAAGGCCUAGAAGAGGCUGGUUUGAGUGACCUUUCUGAGAACAAUGGGAUAAAGUUUAGGGGGAAAGUUUCUAUUUUAGAGCAUGGUUGGACAAAGGUACGAGUUUCUUGUGAUUCAGAUUUGAGUUCACAAGAGGGUCUAAAAUACCUUCGUAUAUAGACAGAAUAAGGGCUGUGGCUUCUGAUGCUACAGUUGGUACCCUGUGUAGUGGUUCAAGCUAAGAUUAAAAUCCAGCCUGUGCCCAUCAUAGCAGCAGGAUCCUAUCAUCCUACAGAACUUGUAUUUUUAUUUUUCUAAGCCUCAUGCAAAUCAAGAUAGUGGCCAUUUGUUUAUUUUUAUUUAUUUUGUUUAACUUCCCCCAAACAUUUCAAUCAAUCAAUACUUAUUGAGCACUACUAUAUGCCAGGCACUGUUCUAGAUGUGGGAACACAGAUGUGCAUGAACCAAGGUCUUUGUCCCCAUGCUUUUGCAUUCUAAUAGAGAGGACUAGAGCACCAAACAAAAAGGACAAAUUUUGGACUUAUAAUGGCUAUAAAGAAAAUAAACAGGAUAAUGUGACAGAAGUGGAAGGAGGACUACUUUAGAUAUGUUGUCUUAGAGGAAGGGACAUCAAUUUAAAGGAUGAAUGGGAGCCAGCCACAGGAAACAUCUAGGGGAGAGAGAACAUUCCAUGGCAGAGAGAAUAGCAGGAACAAUAGUCUUUGGUGGUAUUGAGCUUGACAUAUUAGAGAAACUGAAAUCUGGGUCUAUAGCUGUGUGGUAUAUUUCAGCUUUGCUCUCCUCUACCUUACACCACCUACUCUGUGCCUCCUGCAUUGCUAGUGUCUAUUUAACUUGUUAGGAGUCUGGCUCAAGUUCUUCUCUCCACCUGGAUGUCUGGACCUUGUGCUGACAAGGCUGGCAUUCUCCCUUCCAUGCCCUGGCUUAGAUCAGCUGAGGACACAUAUUUCACCCCCACAAAAAUGUUCUGCUUUAAUCAUCCUGAGACCUGAAUACUGGCCAUGGUGAAAUUCAAAGCAGAAAACAGGGAGCCACUCAUUCUCCCAAUCAUAUACCAGCCUGAUGGCCAGCACUUCAUCUACACUCCACAACUAAAAGUAGUAAAGGUUGUGAUUCCCAGGACUCACUCACAGUCUUGCUCAAAGACAUUUCUGAAAGCUCUUAUAAUCACUCAAGAAACUCUUCUGUCUUUCAAAAUAAUGUAUUAAUGAAUAGUGGGGCAUCAUCUGAAUAAAAUAACCUUAAAUAAAGGUGUGUCCUCAGAGGAAGGAGCUGACAGAGUAGUGUCAAAGCAUCACUUGGAUGCAGCUUUAUCUGAACUUAGGGACUUGAAGUAGAAUAUUCCAUUAUACUGGGGUCUCUAAAAAAAAGAGAGAACAAAAAGGACAAAAAAGAUGGGGGGUGGGAAGAACACCUUAUGAGUGAAAGAACCAGUGUUUGGAAAUCUGCCAAAGAGGAUACUGACACUGGUUUACAGGAAACUAUGUGAGGUUUGAUUUUUUUUUUUCUCAUCUUACUCUCCUCUGCUCUUCUCCUUUGACUCAAUGCCAGAGUGGAGAAUCACAGUAGCAGCAGGUGAAGGAUGCAUGUAGCUGGGAAAAGGGGCCAACUGACCUCCUCUUCCCUUUUCCUACUGCAAGCUUCAGGCUCUAGGUGGAUUCUUAUUGUGGAUGCUGUGAUGUUGGAAGAAGAGAUGGGUGGAGAGAAUGGAGAAGUUUUGAAUGACAUGAUAAGUAUAUCAUAGAUUAGACUGGACUUUUUAAUACCUUAGAAAAUGAGAGUACUCUUUAAUAUCUGUCAGUCAUAGAGAAAGGUAGGAAUCUGACCAAGAUUUUAUCUAGGAGUAGGAAAGAAGAAGCCAUCAGAAUGUGUUGAAAGAGAAAAAAUGUGAGAACAAACAAAAUUACUUUUUGUUCUCACUCCACUAAGUUCAAUAAAUACAUUGAAUCCACUGGCAUAAUUUCCAUAAAUUGCUUCUUCUCUCUUCUAAAACUGCUAAUCCUCUUUCAUUGGUUUGGGCUGAAAAAACAAAUUUUUAUUACCUAGAUAAAUAUGAAUUAGUCUUUGAGGUGCUCUGUUUAAUUCUCCAACCAUUAAGUCUAUCAGAUAAGAGCUAAAGGCACUUAAAAAAUAGUUUCAUUUUGUUCACUUUAUACUCUAUCAAUUACAGUUCUUUAUAAAUGGGCCAGUCCUACUGCACAUGUACACUGCAGUAGUUGUUUUCCUCUGAAUGUUUUGACGUCAAAAGAUUUUUGUAUUAUUAAAAUGAUGUCAAGGAGUUCCCGUCGUAGUGCAGUGGUUAACAAAUCCGACUAGGAACCAUGAGGUUGCGGGUUCAGUCCCUGCCCUUGCUCAGUGGGUUAAGGAUCCGGCAUUGUGUGAGCUGUGGAGUAGGUUGCAGACAUGGCUCGGAUCCCAUGUUGCUGUGGCUCUGGCAUAGGCCGGUGGCUACAGCUCUGAUUGGACCCCUAGCCUGGGAAACUCCAUAUGCCGCAGGAGCGGCC
rnacentral:lncRNA from 1 species